rnacentral:rRNA from 1 species
GAUGAACGCUGGCGGUGUGCCUAAUACAUGCAAGUCGAGCGAACGGACGGGAAGCUUGCUUCUCUGAUGUUAGCGGCGGACGGGUGAGUAACACGUGGAUAACCUACCUAUAAGACUGGGAUAACUUCGGGAAACCGGAGCUAAUACCGGAUAAUAUUUUGAACCGCAUGGUUCAAAAGUGAAAGACGGUCUUGCUGUCACUUAUAGAUGGAUCCGCGCUGCAUUAGCUAGUUGGUAAGGUAACGGCUUACCAAGGCAACGAUGCAUAGCCGACCUGAGAGGGUGAUCGGCCACACUGGAACUGAGACACGGUCCAGACUCCUACGGGAGGCAGCAGUAGGGAAUCUUCCGCAAUGGGCGAAAGCCUGACGGAGCAACGCCGCGUGAGUGAUGAAGGUCUUCGGAUCGUAAAACUCUGUUAUUAGGGAAGAACAUAUGUGUAAGUAACUGUGCACAUCUUGACGGUACCUAAUCAGAAAGCCACGGCUAACUACGUG